AUGGCCGCGCUCGUCGGCGACGUCGCCUACUGGCUGGCGGAGCACCCGGACAUCGUCGGCUUCCGCUGGAGCCCCUCGGGCCUCUGGUUCUCCACCUGGGCCUUCCUCCUCGGCUUCCUCGCCACCUACGUGUCCCUCUGCCUCGCCGCCGACGCGCUCCUCCGCCGCCGGAAGCCGCUCCCUCUCGGGCCCCUCCCCCCCGCGCACGCGCUCCUCAUGGCCGCCGUCUCCGCCACCAUCUUCGCCGGCACGCUCCUGUCGGCGGUGGCGGAGAUUCGGGACACGCGGUGGUCGUGGCGGGGCCGGAGCCGGACGACCCCCUUCCGGUGGCUCCUCUGCUUCCCGCCGGGGACCCGCUCGUCGGGCCGCGUCUUCUUCUGGUCCUACGCCUACUACCUCUCCCGGUACCUCCACGCGGCGCGGGGCGUGUUCGCGGUGCUCAGGCGCCGGCGAGGGGCGGCCGCCCGGGUGUUCGCGCACGCGGCGUCCGUGGCCAUGGCGUUCCUCUGGCUCGAGUUCUCGCAGUCGUUCCAGGUGCUGGCCAUCCUCGCCUCCACGCUCGCCCACGCCGUCGCCUUCGGGUUCCGCUUCUGGGUGGACAGCGCGGGGCUCCCGGCGGCGCGCGCCGCCCGGAGCGGGUCGGCGCCCGUGGCGCUGGGGUGCCAGCUCGGGCUGCUGGGGUGCAACCUGGUGUGCCACGCGGGGGUGGUGUGGAUGCACUUCGGGGGCGCGAUGGCCGGCGGGUGCAGCGGCAUCGGGGCCUGGGUGGUCAACACGCUGCUCAACGCGGCGCUGCUCUGGGUGUUCCUCCACUGCUACGGCACCCGCGGCGUCUGCGACGACGACGGGGGCGCCGCCGCCGGCACGGCGAAGAAGAAGAAGAAGAAGAGGGAGAUGUGA
rnacentral:rRNA from 1 species